CAAAAGGGUCAUAAUGUUUAGACACCCCAAUCACUUUGUUUGAACCAAAUACCUUAGGAGUCAAAUAUACCAGGUGUAUAGCCCGAAAAAACGUCAACCACAAUGCUCUGUAAAAUCAUUCAGUACUUUCUCUAGUUAGGGGCACAAAACGCUAUUGACAACAGGUCCACUGUUAGCCUCGUUUUAGCUCCGCUACAAACUUACCCUACAGCAUCCACAGAACUGUUAUCGGACUGACCCGUUAAAAAGAUAAUCUGGGAAAACCUCCUAAUGGAUCUUUCUGAAGGAUAUGCAACAUUAAGCCAACUGCAUCCCGGGGAUAAAGGAUAUGGAACCACCUUCAUUAGAAUGGAAUUCCGGAGAGCAACGGAUGGACACAGAAUUUUACGAGAUAUCUAUAUGUCAACUGUCUCUGAUUUGCGGUUGUUUGUGAUGGGCAGAAAACAGGUUAAGGAAAACUCCGAGGCUGAAACAACAUUCAGUCAUGCUAUUCUAAAACAGGAAGACGACGAUUUUUACAGAUAUUCAGAAACAGAAGGACAAUAAUUAUCAUUAUAAUUAGUUUUUUAAAUAUAUUUUUUAGGCCAUAUGUUAAAUGGACGUAUUCUUAUAAGUUAAAAUGUAUCUAUUUCGUAUAAAUACAUGUUAACAUUAUCUAACGUUUGUAUGAUACCCAGAGGCUACAGGGCAUAAUGGAUUGGGAACCGACAGAGUUAGACGGUGAUUCUCAGAAGCAAACUGCGUCCGGUCCUUUACGUGGCCCAUUCACUAAUACACAAUUUUCGGCGUAAGUCCCCCCACCCGACUACGGAAGAGCAGAUGAAACAGAGACAAUUCUGCGGGCUUGUACUGAAGGCCUUAACCGAACUCCAAACACAAGCCAGCACCCCAGGACAGAUAAAACGAUAGACGGUGAAUCUUUCCUUCCUCAUGGAACUUUUUUGAAGGGGAGUUGAAUAUUACAAGUGAUGUUUGUAUAUAUAUAUAUAUUAUCUAAGAAUGAUUGGUCUUAAUUCUAGGCAUUUACAUGUAUGUUUUUAAAAAUGCAGGCUAUUUAUACAAUGAAACAUUGUUUUUAUUCAUACUGUUUGUAAACAAUAGCUUCUGCCCCCUUAGGGUCUACUUGAACCGCUUAUUAAAUCAGACCUCUCAGACCAGAAAGUAUGAUUAGAAACCAUGGCAAACUAUAUUCAAUCUGUGAUUAGAAACGAUAAUUAGAAGCUAUGACAAAACUAUGAUCAAACUAUGAUAAUAAACUAUGAACAACUAUGAA